UACAGAGGGUGCGAGCGUUAAUCGGAAUUACUGGGCGUAAAGCGUGCGUAGACGGCUAUCUAAGUCGAUUGUGAAAUCCCCGGGCUCAACCUGGGAAUUGCAGUCGAGACUGUCUGACUAGAGUGUAGGAGAGGGUGGGUGGAAUUCCCGGUGUAGCGGUGAAAUUCGUAGAUAUCGGGAGGAACACCAGUGGCGAAGGCGGAGACCUGGGCCAAUACUGACGCUGAGGUGCGAAAGCGUGGGGAGCAAACAG
rnacentral:rRNA from 1 species